GUCUUUGGCCAUACUACCCUGAAAGUGCCUGGUCUUAUAUGAUCUUGGAAGCUAAGCAGGGUUGGUCCUGGUUCGAUUGGAGGGUACCUAGCAUUUGAUUGGAGGGUACCUAGCAUU
rnacentral:rRNA from 1 species